rnacentral:rRNA from 1 species
AGUGAACGCUGGCGGUAGGCCUAACACAUGCAAGUCGAACGGCAGCACAGUAAGAGCUUGCUCUUACGGGUGGCGAGUGGCGGACGGGUGAGGAAUACAUCGGAAUCUACUUUUUCGUGGGGGAUAAUGUAGGGAAACUUACGCUAAUACCGCAUACGACCUACGGGUGAAAGCAGGGGAUCUUCGGACCUUGCGCGAUUGAAUGAGCCGAUGUCGGAUUAGCUAGUUGGCGGGGUAAAGGCCCACCAAGGCGAAGAUCCGUAGCUGGUCUCAGAGGAUGAUCAGCCACACUGGAACUGAGACACGGUCCAGACACCUACGGGAGGCGGCAGUGGGGAAUAUUGGACAAUGGGCCAAAGCCUGAUCCAGCCAUACCGCGUGGGUGAAGACGGCCUUAGGGUUGUAAAGCCCUUUUGUUGGGAAAGAAAAGCAGCAGGUUAAUACCCCGCUGUUCUGACGGUACCCAAAGAAUAAGCACCGGCUAACUUCGUG